CUUGGUUAAUUCCGAUAACGAACGAGACCUUAACCUGCUAAAUAGCCAGGCCGGGCCUUUGGCUGGUCGCGGGCUUCUUAGAGGGACUGUCGGCGGUCUAGCCGACGGAAGUUGAGGCGAUAACAGGUCUGUGAUGCCCUUAGAUGCUCUGGGCCGCACGCGCGCUACACUGACAGAGCCAGCGAGUACACUCCUUGGCCGGAAGGUCCGGGUAAUCUUGUGAAACUCUGUCGUGCUGGGGAUAGGGCAUUGCAAUC
rnacentral:rRNA from 1 species